rnacentral:lncRNA from 1 species
AAUUAGAUUUUCCUUCAUCUUUGUUUUUCUUUUGGAACAUCUUUAGAGCUGACUGGAGAAAGGAAGAGGAUAAAUGGCAUAAAACUGGCCAACAUCGGAGGACGUCUUACAUCAGGUUACUUUCCUAGAUGAUUUGUACUGCCUGGAAAGAGCAAAAAUCUCAUUAAAAGAGAAAAGGAGCUAGGAUGAACUAUUACUCAAAGUUACUGUCUAUGAAAGAACCCAGAAAUCUCCUUUCCCCUGCUAUACUGCAGCACAGGCUCAGGAGAGCUUCUUGCUCAAGACUGUGGGAGCUUCAAGAUGCCUGGAUUCACAUCUCAGCACAAUCCCAGCAGUCCCAACCAUACUCAGACUUCCAGCACCAAACUUGGUUUCCAGACACUGGGCUUUACCUGCAUCCCAGCAGACUUCAUCCCAGCAACUUUUAUUUUUCUGGAAUAUCCCAACAUGGGCUUCAUGCCAAGCACGCUGGUGUUGGAGAGGAGAAGCUGUACUGCAGCUGUUCUCACCACCCAGAGAAGCAGGUAAGAGGCUUUCAGAAAUGCCAUCAUGCAGUGGUAUGAGCAGUGGCUGGUAGCAGCAGGAGAGGGAAGAAUAUAAAAGAGGGUAAGCAUGUAGGAUGGUAAAAUGUACAAAUAUUGAUGGAUUCUUUGAGCAAGAAGUUUGUAUAUUUUUGUAAUAUUCCCCAGUGGACU